UACGGGGGGGGCAAGCGUUGUUCGGAAUUACUGGGCGUAAAGGGCUUGUAGGUGGCCAACUAAGUCAGACGUGAAGUCCCUCAGCUUAACUGGGGAACUGCUUCUGAUACUGGAUGGCUUGAGUUUGGGAGAGGGAUGCGGAAUUCCAGGUGUAGCGGUGAAAUGCGUAGAUAUCUGGAGGAACACCGGUGGCGAAGGCGGCAUCCUGGACCAACACUGACACUGAAAAGCGAAAGCCAGGGGAGCAAACGGG
rnacentral:rRNA from 1 species